AGAGUUUGAUCCUGGCUCAGGACGAACGCUGGCGGCGUGCCUAAUACAUGCAAGUCGAGCGAGCUUGCCUAGAUGAUUUUAGUGCUUGCACUAAAUGAAACUAGAUACAAGCGAGCGGCGGACGGGUGAGUAACACGUGGGUAACCUGCCCAAGAGACUGGGAUAACACCUGGAAACAGAUGCUAAUACCGGAUAACAACACUAGACGCAUGUCUAGAGUUUGAAAGAUGGUUCUGCUAUCACUCUUGGAUGGACCUGCGGUGCAUUAGCUAGUUGGUAAGGUAACGGCUUACCAAGGCAAUGAUGCAUAGCCGAGUUGAGAGACUGAUCGGCCACAUUGGGACUGAGACACGGCCCAAACUCCUACGGGAGGCAGCAGUAGGGAAUCUUCCACAAUGGACGAAAGUCUGAUGGAGCAACGCCGCGUGAGUGAAGAAGGGUUUCGGCUCGUAAAGCUCUGUUGGUAGUGAAGAAAGAUAGAGGUAGUAAAUGGCCUUUAUUUGACGGUAAUUACUUAGAAAGUCACGGCUAACUACGUGCCAGCAGCCGCGGUAAUACGUAGGUGGCAAGCGUUGUCCGGAUUUAUUGGGCGUAAAGCGAGUGCAGGCGGUUCAAUAAGUCUGAUGUGAAAGCCUUCGGCUCAACCGGAGAAUUGCAUCAGAAACUGUUGAACUUGAGUGCAGAAGAGGAGAGUGGAACUCCAUGUGUAGCGGUGGAAUGCGUAGAUAUAUGGAAGAACACCAGUGGCGAAGGCGGCUCUCUGGUCUGCAACUGACGCUGAGGCUCGAAAGCAUGGGUAGCGAACAGGAUUAGAUACCCUGGUAGUCCAUGCCGUAAACGAUGAGUGCUAAGUGUUGGGAAGUUUUCGCCCUCUCGUGCUGCACCUAACCCAUUAAGCAUUCCGCCUGGGGAAUACAAACGCAAGGGUGAAAAUCAAAGAAAUUAACGGGGGCCCCCCACAACGGGGGGAGCAUGGGGUUUUAAUUCAAAAAAACCCCAAAAAAACCUUACCCGGUC
rnacentral:rRNA from 1 species